GGCUUCAUAGCUCAGUUGGUUAGAGUGUCGCACCGGUUCGCGAGGUCAUGGGUUCAAACCCCAUUGAAGUCC
rnacentral:tRNA from 1 species